rnacentral:rRNA from 1 species
GACGAACGCUGGCGGCGUGCUUAACACAUGCAAGUCGAACGGAAAGGCCCUGCUUUUGUGGGGUGCUCGAGUGGCGAACGGGUGAGUAACACGUGAGUAACCUGCCCUUGACUUUGGGAUAACUUCAGGAAACUGGGGCUAAUACCGGAUAGGAGCUCCUGCUGCAUGGUGGGGGUUGGAAAGUUUCGGCGGUUGGGGAUGGACUCGCGGCUUAUCAGCUUGUUGGUGGGGUAGUGGCUUACCAAGGCUUUGACGGGUAGCCGGCCUGAGAGGGUGACCGGCCACAUGGGGACUGAGAUACGGCCCAGACUCCUACGGGAGGCAGCAGUGGGGAAUACUGCACAAUGGGCGGAAGCCUGAUGCAGCAACGCCGCGUGCGGGAUGACGGCCUUCGGGUUGUAAACCGCUUUCGCCUGUGACGAAGCGUGAGUGACGGUAAUGGGUAAAGAAGCACCGGCUAACUACGU